UUUUCACUGAACAGCUGCUAUAGGUUCUGGGUGUGCUUGGGAAUUUAUUUAUCUUGGGCAAGUUCUUAGGGCUGAGCAAAAUAUCCUGCACCUGCUUCACACAUGGGGAACAGAGUUUGUGCCCUUCCUGAGAGCUCCAGCAAGCCUUCCUCUGACUGCUGUUCUCCUCAAACUGGCCUUUUGCAACAGGUUCAGGACGAAUGCCUUAGUUCCAGCUCUCCAGCCCAGGCUUCCUGCACCCAGCGCAACCCUGCACGUCACUCCGAUCCUGACAUUGAACUCACAACAACCCAGACCGAGAAGACUGCCAAAAAAUCUCCCGCUAUUCUUCUUCAUCCUCACUAACAAUUUGGUAAUGAAGUAUUGAUUUCCACUCCCCUGCUUAUGGACGAUAUUAGAUUUUCAUUGAUAAACUGCACUGGGGCUGUCUGGUCUCCACUGUCCCUUUUUGCUGUCACUAAAACAAAGUGCCACUGAAGUAAGAUAAUGACUGAGAACAUUGAUGUACUUAUUUCGUCAAUUUGUAACACUUGACAGGAAAAAAAAAUUCUUCAUAGUUUAAUGUCCAAGUGUGCUACACAAGAUGCAGUCACAUUGGAAGCUUUACUUUUCAUGGUAAUGUCCAUUUCCUAUUUAUAACCCCUUUGGGAUAGUUUGUCUAAAGGAAAUGUUUCUAUUCUGUGCAGCUAUUACUGUUGCACCUGGGUUGCCCAAUCCAGUCAUUGCACUAGGGAUCAAUACAUCACAGUAAGUACAAGAAUUAUUAAGUUAAAACAGAUUCUGAGCCAAAAAACCUCUGAACAAUGUUAAUCUUCUGUGCAAGUUGUUCAAAUAGUUAUGCUUAACCAUGUUGCUGCCAAAGAUUUGUUUAAAAUGGAUUAUUUUCAGUUUGUUUUAUUCCUCAGAUAUAUAUAUAUAUUUAAAUCUCCAUUACGGUUUAUGACGAGACAUAUGCGAUGGAGUGAUUUUUAAACAAAAGUACUAUUGUUAGAUUAUUGAACAUUAUAUAAAUAUAGGUAUAUCUAUAUAUAAAUAUCACUAUAUAAAUAUCUAUAUAUAGAUAUAAAAGAAUAAAAGUAGAAUUCCUUUCUCAAUUAGGUGAGCCUAAAUCUAAAGCUCUCUGUUGCAGUCAACGGAGUUACCUUGGAUUUACCCACCCGAAAUGGGAUCAGAAUCUGGUCUUGGUGCCCUCCGCCCCGCCUGGCUGGUCCUGCCGGCACGGGCAGGCUGGCAAGCACAGCCGGCUUGGAGUCACCAAGACCUGGGGAGACGGGGGCUACUAAGAUGGCCAUUUCAAAUUUGUGCUUGUAACUUUUUUCAUUAAAACUUCGAGGUCCCAAUUUUAAUUUGUGGAAUAUUCACGUUAAUAAUGAGAUCUAAUUAAGACAUCCAUUAAAAGCCCGUUAAAGUUAAUUUAACGUAAAAAUUCCAAUAGAACUGUAUUAGAUUUUCUCCAUUAAAUUAACGUUAUGGAUUUUUAACGGAUGUCUUAAUUAUACAUUAUUAUUAACGGGAAUACUGUAUUACACAGAUUAAAAUCGGGUCCCGAGUCAACUCGCACAAUCUUCCAGGAGGUGCUAAUGUCACGAGUCCCACGUCACCUAGUGCACUGCUUGGAAAAUCCAGCGCAGCCCUGUUUACUCGCCGAGAUUUUCCUCGCAGCAAAAGCAACCUCCAGUAGACAAAUCCAUCUCUGCACUUAAUGAGGAACUUCCCUGAUUCUCAAAGGAAAAAUAAGUCUGGAUCAAGUGGUAAACUGCUACUCUGUCGCAAAUGAAAUAUUCCAAGUAUGCUGGGCACAAGUUGGGAAGAGGAUCUGUCUCAAGUCAGAGAGGGCUUUGGGGUGUCUUUUGCUCUUGUUUCGGUUUAGAUGUUCAAGGAUACAAUUGAAGUGCAGCAUUCACAGAAUCAGACUCGGUAGGUUUUACCGCAUUCCCUGUGGCUUGUGCAGAAGGGCCUGUUUUGGCGUUGUUUGGGAAAUUUUCACAUGAUCCCUAAACUCCACAUGGAGGAGAAAAAAGGGCCCUUCUUAUUUACCUCCUAGGGAAAGUGUUGCCCUUAUGCCACAUAUAAUAGCAAAUUGCUUUUUUUAUGGCAUGCAUAACCUAGAUGGGAAAAAAUAUGGCGCUUGAGGGAAGGAGGGAAAAAGUAAAUGAAGUUCCAGGAAUGUCAUUCUGAAGUAAUGAGGCAUGGACAGAAAAUAUACCCCUCACAUCAUCGGAUUGAGAUGGCAGUCGAAAUAGCUUCAUUGAAGUGUCAGCACUCAUCCAUCAAUCAAUCAUCCACAAGGAAAAAUAGCGACAGUACAACGGGGCGGCUUUUAUGGGAUUUACUCAUGGGCAUAGGGAAUAGCAGCUCAAAUGUAGUUCUGACAUGAAAAGCAAGGUGCUGAUAUUAUUUUUUAUGAUGGGAGGAUCAUAAAGUGAAUUGAGAACAGUGAGGUCUGUCUUUGCUUAACCUAUUCAACUGGAAAUGAACGGAGCUCAACUGGAAACGAGCAGAGCCUUCAGAUGGGUUAAGAUUGAAGCCUGCACCGUGCUGAGCACCAGCCAUUGACAACAAAAUUCUAUUAAAGCAAAAUCAAUGCAUUAGCAUUGAGCUCCUCAGAAGCUGUUAAAUUGCACAGCCCAGUUCAGAGUUAUUAAGCGAAGUCGCACAAGGUGUGUCCUGCAGCACAGAGCCAAAG
rnacentral:lncRNA from 1 species